GCUCGAAAAUGUUAAAGUUCUUAUUUCAUGGUAUAACUUUGGUAUGCUUGGACCUAGAGUCUUCAAACUUGACAUGAAGGUUGGCCAGGAUUAACAGAUGACCACUGGUCAUUUCAAGGUCAUUCAUUUGAAGGUCAAGGUCACUGUGACCUUCAAUAUAAAGAAUGUUAAAGUUGUUAUAACUUUGGUAUGCUUGGACCUAGAGUCUUGAAACUUGACAUGAAGGUUGGCCAUAACUAGUUAGUAACCACUGGUCAUUUCAAGGUCAUUCAUUUGAAGGUCAAGGUCACUGUGACCUUGAAUGUAAAAAUGUUAAAGUUCUUAUUUCAUGGUAUAACUUUAGUAUGCUUGGACCUAGAGUCUUCAAACUUGACAUGAAGGUUGGCCAGGAUUAACAGAUGACCACUGGUCAUUUCAAGGUCAUUCAUUUGAAGGUGAAGGUCACUGUGACCUUCAAUAUAAAAAUGUUAAAGUUGUUAUAACUUUGGUAUGCUUGGACCUAGAGUCUUGAAACUUGACAUGAAGGUUGGCCAGAACUAGUAAGUAACCACUGGACAUUUCAAGGUCAUUCAUUUGAAGGUCAAGGUCACUGUGACCUUGAAUGUAAAAAUGUUAAAGUUGUUAUAACUUUGGUAUGCUUGGACCUAGAGUCUUGAAACUUGACAUGAAGGUUGGCCAGAACUAGUAAGUAACCACUGGACAUUUCAAGGUCAUUCAUUUGAAGGUCAAGGUCACUGUGACCUUGAAUGUAAAAAUGUUAAAGUUCUUAUUUCAUGUUAUAACUUUGGUAUGCUUGUACCUAGAGUCUUCAAACUUGAAAUAAAGAUUGGCCAGUACUAGAAGAUGACCACUGGUCAUUUCAAUGUCAUUCAUUUGAAGGUCAAGGUCACUGUGACCUUAAAUGUUAAAAUGUUAAAAUUGUUAUAACUUUGGUAUGCUUGGACAUAGAGUCUUCAAACUUGACAUGAAGGUUUGCAAGCACACUUAGAUGACCACUGGUCAUUUUAAGGUCAUUCAUUCUAAGGUCAAGGUCAC